rnacentral:lncRNA from 1 species
GAGUGGGAGGUAAAACUGGGAAACCAGGUACCGAUUAAAAUGGAAACUGAUUAUUAGCUUUGAGUGUAUACCUAACUAAUUUACACUUCAUUUGGCAGAUAGUGGAGAGCCACUGGAAGUAUAAAAGCAAGGGAUUGACGUGAUCAUAUGUGUGUGUAUAAAUAUGUGUAUACAUGACGUAAAUAUUAACCUGCUAAUAUUUUGUCAGGGGGAAAGACCAAGAGAAAUACUAGUUGGAAAACAAUCUUAAUAAAUACUAUAGAGUUCAAGUCUAUUAAAAUAGAGCUGAUGAGAGAUAAAGGGGGGCUGAACUAACAUGAUGUAUUCAGACAAGAUAGACAUUCCAAACUUUAUAAGGGAAAAUGACACACUGUGGCAAC